GGUUAAGCGACUAAGCGUACACGGUGGAUGCCCUGGCAGUCAGAGGCGAUGAAGGACGUGCUAAUCUGCGAUAAGCGUCGGUAAGGUGAUAUGAACCGUUAUAACCGGCGAUUUCCGAAUGGGGAAACCCAGUGUGUUUCGACACACUAUCAUUAACUGAAUCCAUAGGUUAAUGAGGCGAACCGGGGGAACUGAAA
rnacentral:rRNA from 1 species